rnacentral:rRNA from 1 species
AACGAACGCUGGCGGCAUGCCUAACACAUGCAAGUCGAACGAGCCCUUCGGGUCUAGUGGCGCACGGGUGCGUAACGCGUGGGAACCUGCCCUUAGGUUCGGAAUAACUCCCCGAAAGGGGUGCUAAUACCGGAUAAUGUCUUCGGACCAAAGAUUUAUCGCCUUUGGAUGGGCCCGCGUUGGAUUAGCUAGUUGGUAGGGUAACAGCCUACCAAGGCGACGAUCAAUAGCUGGUCUGAGAGGAUGACCAGCCACACUGGGACUGAGACACGGCCCAGACUCCUACGGGAGGCAGCAGUGGGGAAUAUUGGGCAAUGGGCGAAAGCCUGAUGCAGCAAUGCCGCGUGAAUGAUGAAGGCCUUAGGGUUGUAAAGCUCUUUUACCCGGGAUGAUAAUGACAGUACCGGGAGAAUAAGCUCCGGCUAACUCCGUG